CGGAGACACUCGGACACUCGUUUUUUAUGUCGCCUUUCAAACAGCGGGUGCGCUUGUUGGGUGCCAAUAGGCGCAGACAACGCACGAGGGAAGGAAGGAGGCAUACUCGCUCCCUCAGUCUGUCCCUUUUCUUCUUUCGCCGUGUAUUUGAGAGGUGGCGCGCGGGAGGCAGAGCGUCGAACGCUACUGUCCCGAACCCUAGUCACGGGGUUGAGCCUUAGUUCCUCGGACGAGGAACAGGGGAGAAACCGAUAAAGAGGAAGCCGGAGCAAAAGCAAAAACGAGGCAGAAG
rnacentral:misc_RNA from 1 species